CAAGUACUCCCUCCGUUCGAAAUUACUUGUCGUAGAAAUGAAUGUAUCUAGAUAUAUUUUAGUUCUAGAUACAUCCAUAUCCGAGACAAGUAAUUUGGAACAGAGGAAGUACUGU
rnacentral:pre_miRNA from 1 species